UAGAGAUUUUUAUCUCAGGCCUA
rnacentral:siRNA from 1 species